ensembl:lncRNA
AUGGCCUUAAAAAAAAAAAAAAAAAAAAAAAAGAAGAAGAUUUUCUGCGAAGGGACUGGGAUUAACUCUAGUUUACCAACCCCUUUUUUUGUAGGGAGCCAGAAAUGGAAUCAUGUAGAAUAUCCACUCCAUUCCACCAUCAAAACCUUGCUUCUCUUUAUGAGGAAACAGAGGCCCACAGAGGGAAGAGCUCUGUCAUUUUCGGUAAAACACUUCAAGGCGGAGAUGCAUUCAGAGCAUCGCACAGGGCUGCCCAGAAGUGAAUUCCAUGUAGAUGAAAGGAAGACUUAGAGAACCUGAUUAACUUCCCCAAAGUUUGUUCUGGGGCCAGAAGCCAAAUCUGUGUUGUUCUUAACCCUAAUCUAAAACUGCAUCUCAACCAUCUGUUGCUAUGAAACCUGGGGUCAGAAAGCCAGGUUGGACUCCUGACUCCACCGCAUAGAAAUUGGAUAGCCUUGGGGAAUUCAGUCAAUGUCUUUGAACCUUCGUUUUCUAAUCUAUAAAACUAAAAGAACAAUCCCUACUCUACCCACCUCGGAGGACUUUGUGGAACACAUAGAGAUAAUGUGGGAAAGUGCUAUGGAAGUGUUUGCAUGAUUAAUCAGAAUAGUGAAAAGCAAGGAGAACUAUCUCUGGCCUCUAGAAGAAGUCAUAAGGAAGAUUGGGGCCUUGGGAUACCCAUUCCCCUGUUUCUGCCUUGAGUUCUGAAGCAGUUGAGAUAUAACUACAAGUCUAAUAGAUGAGGAUGAACUAUCAGCUGGAUUGGAGUGUGGUUUAAGGGUGUGGCCGCAUCGGACUUCUUAAUACUUCCUGACUGAAGACAGACUUACUGGUGUGUCACUGGCAGAUCUGGACACUUUGCAUCUCUCCCACAGGGCAACCUCUUACUCUUGGCAGUAGAGGAGAAAAUGGACUGAGAAUAGGCUCCUCCAAAAAGUGAAACACAAAUGGCACUGAGCCACAGAUGCUCGGGUCCUCCCUACUGAGUAAACGAUCACAUCAUUCAUUCUGGACAAAGCCAGAGAGGUGCUGUGGACAAAGAGAGGGGGCAAGAGUUCUUCCCAAGUUUUGCUGUCCUGGGAGUCUUUUACAGGAAUACAGAGACAGGAGGAUAAAAUUUCCCUCUUAACAAUGAAGAAUCACCAUCUCUAUUAGUAAUAGGAAAACAAGGAUCAGAGGGAGUCUUUGCUCAGUUCUUUCUGCCUCCCCCUUGGUUGGGCUGAAAGGAGCCAUCUGUGGCCACUACGUAGGAUUUUGUCAACUUUGUAAAACCACACCCACUCCUUAACUCCCCACCAUGUGGCCACAAGAAUCCCUUUAAACACAUUUAAAAAAUAAAACAUGUUUUCUCUCCUAUGAAACA